rnacentral:rRNA from 1 species
UACGUAGGGGGCAAGCGUUGUCCGGAAUCAUUGGGCGUAAAGAGCGUGUAGGCGGCCAGAAAAGUCCGCUGUGAAAACUCGAGGCUCAACUUCGAGCUGUCGGUGGAAACUUUCUGGCUAGAGUCCGGAAGAGGAGAAUGGAAUCCUGGUGUAGCGGUGAAAUGCGCAGAUAUCAGGAAGAACACCCGUGGCGAAGGCGGUUCUCUGGGACGGACUGACGCUGAGACGCGAAAGCGUGGGGAGCGAACAGG